rnacentral:rRNA from 1 species
CGUAGGAACCUGCCGCGUCGUGGGGGAUAACGCUGGGAAACUGGCGCUAAUACCGCAUGUGGUCAUGUGGAAACGCAUGAAGAAAGCAGCAAUGCGCGACGUGAGGGGCCUGCGGCCGAUUAGCUAGUUGGAUAGGUAAAGGCUCACCAAGGCGACGAUCGGUAGCUGGUCUGAGAGGACGACCAGCCACACUGGGACUGAGACACGGCCCAG